rnacentral:sRNA from 1 species
GUAACAGGAAACAGCUUGCUGUUUCGCUGACCAGUGGCGGACGGGUGAGUAAUGUCUGGGAAACUGCCUGAUGGAGGGGGAUAACUACUGGAAACGGUAGUUAAUACCGCAUAACGUCGCAAGACCAAAGAGGGGGACCUUCGGGCCUCUUGCCAUCGGAUGUGCCCAGAUGGGAUUAGCUAGUAGGUGGGGUAACGGCUCACCUAGGCGACGAUCCCUAGCUGGUCUGAGAGGAUGACCAGCCACACUGGAACUGAGACACGGUCCAGACUCCUACGGGAGGCAGCAGUGGGACUCCUACGGGAGGCAGCAGUGGGA